rnacentral:tmRNA from 1 species
GGGGCUGACCGGUUUUGACAGCGGGUAGAAGUGGUUUGUAAGCAUGUAGUGCGUAGUUGGCUUGCACUUAAAUCUCAGACAACGCAAAUUAAUUGGCGAAAAUUCUUACGCUCUCGCUGCGUAGUCGAAGUACAGUAGAUUGACGCUUAAUCUCUGCAACAGUUGUGGAGACGAGACAUCGCCCGGAUGCUGUGGCUUCGAAGCGGUCCGAACCGGCGGUGCAGAUAAAUCGGAGAUAGUUUAAAGCAUGCCUUGAGCUUUAAGCAAAAUUAAAGAGGCUAAGGAUUGGGUUGGUUGCUUCGGUCUUGCCCUUUCCCGACAAACAAAGCGAAGAUAAACAUGUAGAAAGCAGAUUAAUUCCUCGAUUGGACGAGGGUUCGACUCCCUCCAGCUCCACAA